CAUUAUGUAUAUCCCCUUUAGAUGAGUUUGUAAGAGCCUAGCGUUUGUAGAAUGGAAGCUUAGUGUCGUUUUCGUACAUUCAACCAACCAACCAACCGACUUGGUGUGGGCAGUAGAAAUCUGAACUUCCAGAUCGGAAUGGCAGCUGUGAGCAGAUGUUAGGAAUUAAUUAGUGGGUGGGGUGGUAUAGCUUCUAGUCAGUCACCUGGUGUAUCUAAGAGGAGACUUCUCCAGGUGUGUGAUUGUUCAUAUCAAAAAACAACUGACUUUAUGUACUCAUUCAGUCUUCUCUCUUGCUGAGAAAUUGGCAGAGCUGUGAAGCUCUGAGUGGGACCAGAAAAGGAACUUGCUACUGUAUGAAUAUCAAGAGAGGAACAAACUACAUAUAUUUCAUAGGGUUGAGUGGGGGCUCUCACACACCUGAGAUACCCCGAGAAAACAGGCAAUGAAGACUCCUAUAAUUCUCCUCAGACAUUCUUUCAACCCAACCUCUGGGUGCACCCUUUUAGGGCCUUCAACUUAGCAGGUGGAAAACCCAAGACCUGGAGAGUCCCAAGAGAACAGGUCCAGCUGGUGGCCAAGGGGACGGGGAGCCCCCAUCGGCUGUGCAUUGCCUGGUGCCCUUUACAGUUUGCACGCUGUCCCUCCUGGCCGGGAUCGCAAGCUACAUCAUAGGUUGUGCGUGUAUUAUGUACAUUUUGACUAACAAGAAAAUAAAUAGCGUGUCUGAAAAAAUA